rnacentral:tRNA from 1 species
GGGCCGUUAGCUCAGCCUGGUGCCUGCUUGCAGCAAAGCAAGCUCGCGGGCAACUAGAGCACCUGACUUUUAAUCAGGGGGUCGUGGGUUCGAAUCCCAUACGGCCCA